rnacentral:rRNA from 1 species
GGCCUUGGGCAGCUUACCAUGCAGUCGACGGCAGCACGGACUUCGGUCUGGUGGCGAGUGGCGAACGGGUGAGUAAUAUAUCGGAACAUACCCUAGAGUGGGGGAUAACGUAGCGAAAGUUACGCUAAUACCGCAUACGAACUAAGGUUGAAAGUGGGGGAUCGCAAGACCUCAUGCUCAUGGAGUGGCCGAUAUCUGAUUAGCUAGUUGGUGAGGUAAAGGCUCACCAAGGCGACGAUCAGUAGCUGGUUUGAGAGAACGACCAGCCACACUGGAACUGAGACACGGUCCAGACUCCUACGGGAGGCAGCAGUGGGGAAUUUUGGACAAUGGGGGCAACCCUGAUCCAGCAAUGCCGCGUGAGUGAAGAAGGCCUUCGGGUUGUAAAGCUCUUUUGUCAGGGAAGAAACGGUUGUGGCUAAUAUCCAUGGCUAAUGACGGUACCUGAGGAAUAAGCACCGGCUAACUACGUGCCAGCAGCCGCGGUAAUACGUAGGGUGCAAGCGUUAAUCGGAAUUACUGGGCGUAAAGCGUGCGCAGGCGGUUAUAUAAGUCAGAUGUGAAAUCCCCGGGCUCAACCUGGGAACUGCAUUUGAGACUGUAUGGCUAGAGUGUGUCAGAGGGGGGUAGAAUUCCACGUGUAGCAGUGAAAUGCGUAGAUAUGUGGAGGAAUACCGAUGGCGAAGGCAGCCCCCUGGGAUAACACUGACGCUCAUGCACGAAAGCGUGGGGAGCAAACAGGAUUAGAUACCCUGGUAGUCCACGCCCUAAACGAUGUCUACUAGUUGUCGGGACUUAAUUGUCUUGGUAACGCAGCUAACGCGUGAAGUAGACCGCCUGGGGAGUACGGUCGCAAGAUUAAAACUCAAAGGAAUUGACGG